rnacentral:lncRNA from 1 species
GGGGACAUCAGGUAGAGAGACUCAUUCAGACCUGGGGACAUCAGGUAGAGAGACUCAUUCAGACCUGGGGACAUCAGGUAGAGAGACUCAUUCAGACCUGGGGACAUCAGGUAGAGAGACUCAUUCAGACCUGGGGACAUCAGGUAGAGAGACUCAUUCAGACCUGGGGACAUCAGGUAGAGAGACUCAUUCAGACCUGGGGACAUCAGGUAGAGAGACUCAUUCAGACCUGGGGACAUCAGGUAGGAAGAGAAAGCAGAAAUGUUUUGGCCCUCAGGACCUGAAUAAUACUUUGACAUUGAAACACAACAGCUAUACAUAACUAGGUGAAAGCAGACCUGAUGCAACACACACACACAAUAAAACACACACACACACACACACACACACACACACACAAUCAGCACACGCACACACAAUCAGCACACGCACACACACGCACACACACACACAAUAAGCACACACACACACACACACACACACAAUAAACACACACACAAUAAGCACACGCACACGCACACACACAAUAAGCACACUGUGGUAAGACUGUUUUGGGUUGCAUUUUGUCUGCAUUUAGCCAAUCUGUAACAAUCAGAAGAAUAAAAUACACAUCCAAACAUCUUGACCUUUCAACAAACAGCAAGAUGGAAAUGAACCUUGUGAAGGAAACAGCAACAUAAAGUGUUUUAAUAGGAGGUAACUGGCAGAAUAAAGGAAACUCCAGGUCCUCCACCAACCACCAGGUAACUGCCAGAAUAAAGGAAACUCCAACAUAGUGUUUUAAUAGGACGUCGGGUCCUCCACCAACCACCAGGUAACUGCCAGAAUAAAGGAAACUCCAACAGUGUUUUAAUAGGACGUCGGGUCCUCCACCAACCAGAACAGCUUUAAUACACCUUGACAUCGAUUCUACAAGUGUCUGGGAAGUCUAUCGGAGGGAUGAGACGCCAUUCUUCCACGAGGAAAUUCCAUCAUUUGGUGUUUUGUUGAUGGUAUUGAAGCCACCUUGCAGCCAUUUUGGCUCUCCUUAAUGAUGUGUAUAAACCCUGGAUGGCUGAC